UACGGAGGGGGUUAGCGUUGUUCGGAAUGACUGGGCGUAAAGCGCGCGCAGGCGGCCUUUUAAGUCUGACGGUGAAAUGCCGGGGCUCAACCCCGUGCCCGCCGGAGAUACUGGGAGGCUGGAGACGAGUAGAGGCAAGCGGAAUUCCGGGUGUAGCGGUGGAAUGCGUAGAGAUCCGGAAGAACACCGGUGGCGAAGGCGGCCUGCUGGGCAGUUGCUGACACUGAGGCGCGACAGCGUGGGGAGCAAACAGG
rnacentral:rRNA from 1 species